UUCAAGUGAUUCUCCUGCCUCAGCCUUCUGAGUAGCUGGGACUACAGGCAAGAUGCUGUUUUAGGACCAGAAAUCUCCCAGGGGUGUGCAGAUCAACAGUAAUCCCAGUCUGCCCUCCAUCGUCGGAAUAGAAUCAGAGGGAGGGAAAAUCCGCCUUUGGAUCUCUGGACCAUGAUCUUUCCAGCAGGUCACAGGUGCUUAGGCCGAAAAUCAGGAAUCUCUUGAAUGAAUGCAUGAAGGUGGAGCCCUUUCCCUUAAUGCGCAGGUGAAAAGGGCACCUCGGUGGAUUCUACUAAAUUUAAUAGAAGACCCAAGACGGGGUGGGGGAGACGUGCUUUGUGCUCACCUGGCUGGUUCAUGGGCAGGUGGCCUGGAGGACCCAGCCCUGGCAGCUGUGGGGUAGCUCCAGCCUGGGCCGGACAGCUUCUUUCAUCGCAGGCACCACUGCGGACAUUGCUGGGAGGAAGAGGAGGGAGAAGCGACGGGCUUCAUUAGGAACGGAAAUGCCAAGAUUAGUGAAAGAAUGAAAAGAGUCAAAACAGCCUAGAAAAGGCUUCAAUGAUCCUCAAACUGGAUGAUCGAAUCCCGAAUAAUUGGGAAUCAACAGUAAAGGCCAAAGCUUUCGAUGGAUUGGACGAGGCGCGUCCACCCUGGGGAGGGCCAUCAUUUUAUUCAGUCUACUGAUGCAAAUGCUUAUCUCUUCUGGAAACACCUUCACAGACAGACCCAGAAUAUAGUUGAACCAAAUACUGGGCACCUCAUGGCUCCAACAGGUUGACACAAAAAAUGAACCAUUGCAGAAAACGAAGAACAGUCACCAACUCCCACCCAUGCAGCUGGCUCAUUUGCUGGGCUGCCCUCCCCAGCAGGUGGCACAGGAAUCCCUGCCUUGGCAGGGAGGAGGCCUGGGGUGUGUGCAGGUACCCAUGGGAAGUUUCUUUGCCAUGGGGAAAGCCAGAGUCACCCCUUGCUUGAACACAAGAGUUGGAGGUUUCAGUGAGCUGAGAUUACGCUAUUGCACUCCAGCCUGGGCGGCAGAGUGAGACUCUGUCUCUAGAUAAAUAAAUUAAAUAAAUAAAUAAAUAUAAUUUAAUAUAAA
rnacentral:lncRNA from 1 species